rnacentral:rRNA from 1 species
GUGAGGAAUUUUCCGCAAUGGGCGAAAGCCUGACGGAGCAAUGCCGCGUGAAGGAUGAAGGCCUAUGGGUUGUAAACUUCUUUUCUCAGAAAAGAAUUAUGACGGUAUCUGAGGAAUAAGCAUCGGCUAACUCUGUGCCAGCAGCCGCGGUAAGAUAGAGGAUGCAAGCGUUAUCCGGAAUGAUUGGGCGUAAAGCGUCUGUAGGUUGUUUAAAAAGUAUUCUGUCAAAGAUUAGGGCUUAACCCUAGAUAGGCAGAAUAAACUUUUAAGCUAGAGUUUGGUAGAGGCAGAGGGAAUUCCCUGUGGAGCGGUGAAAUGCGUAGAUAUCGGGAGGAACACCAAAGGCGAAGGCACUCUGCUGGGCCAAUACUAACACUGAGAGACGAAAGCGAGGGGAGCAAAUGGGAUUAGAUACCCUGGUAGUCC